rnacentral:rRNA from 1 species
UACGUAGGGUGCGAGCGUUAAUCGGAAUUACUGGGCGUAACGCGUGCGCAGGCGGUUUUAUAAGACAGGUGUGAAAUCCCCGGGCUCACCCUGGGAAUGGCAUUUGUGACUGUAGGACUAGAGUACGGUAGAGGGGGAUGGAGUUCCGCGUGUAGCAGUGAAAUGCGUAGAUAUGCGGAGGAACACCGAGGGCGAAGGCAAUCCCCUGGACCUGUACUGACGCUCAUGCGCGAAAGCGUGGGGAACAAACAGG